rnacentral:lncRNA from 1 species
GGUAGUACAGUAGCCCCUGUAUUCGUAUAUAGAGGAGCUUAAAGAAAGCUAAUUGCAUCUCAUUCAAAACGACUGAUUUACAAAUUUGUAUAUGCGGGGCCCGGGGCCCGGGGCCGGGGGCUGGGACCCCGCGGGGCGGGAGAAGGACCGGGGAAAGCGUGUCCCUCGGCCGGCGCCGCGCGCGGGGCGCGGGGAGGCGUGGGAGAGCUGCUGCGUAAUGCCGAGAGAAAAUCCACUUUCCUCCAAUUGUCUGGCCCAUUUUGGGCGGCAGCGGCAAGUUGGAAGAGAAGGGGUGCCUUGGCCAGUACAUGUGUGGUUUUUCAGGGAAGAUUCACUACUGUGAGCCGUGGACGAGUUAGGAGCUAUACCUUCAAACGGGAGAAGACGCAGGGUGCGAGGCUGAUGGCUCCCUAGGAGCCCCUUUCUUCCCACCUGCCGGCCGCGCGGUCCGGACGGGGAGACCAGCGGCCCCUUCCCGAGGGUGUGCAGAGACUCAGAGUGAUAAGGUUUUCAUUUCCAACAUGGAAAAACUAAUCCUGAACCUAGAGCCUUGAGAAGUGGGUGUUUCUGAGAAAGCUGGUUUAGUCCAGGGCGAUUCCCAGGGUCCUGCGGGACCCACAGCAUAACCAGGGCCAGGGGAGGGGUGGAGGGAGGCCCAGACCCUUGGCCGGGAGAGAGGCUGCCUGGGAGGGCCGCUGCACCCCUGGAAGAGGAAAUCCAGGGUGCAUCCGGGGCUCUUCUUGUUCCCAGAGGGUUGGGAGAUAAUCACCAAACACAUCCCUUGAGCUGCUCCCUCCUUGGACUAGUAGAGCAGCGGAGAAAUAAGAGGAGGGCCCCAGCCAGGGAAAGACAAGACUCCAGGUCAGUUACAGCCAAGUCUGUAUCAGAGUGAGACCUGACUUGUGGCCACACAUGGCCCAUAAAACUCAUCCUCAAAAAAAAAAAAAAAAAACUCUGGAGAGAGCAGCCUGAGCCCUUGGGAACUGAGUCCAGGAGGACAGGGCAAAAGUGAUAGUGACCCCUGCCUGGUUCAUCUUUCCCAGGAGAGUGAAGGGCAGGGGUCCCGCUCCCAGCCCUGUCCCUUCCAAGGCGAGCAGAGCUCAC